UACGUAGGGCGCAAGCGUUGUCCGGAAUUAUUGGGCGUAAAGAGCUCGUAGGCGGUGUGUCGCGUCUGCUGUGAAAACCCGAGGCUCAACCUCGGGCCUGCAGUGGGUACGGGCAGACUAGAGUGCGGUAGGGGAGAUUGGAAUUCCUGGUGUAGCGGUGGAAUGCGCAGAUAUCGUAAGGAAGACCAGUGGACGGAAGGCGGGUCUCUGGACAGUUCCUGACGCUGAGGCACGAAGGUCAGGGGAGCAAACGGG
rnacentral:rRNA from 1 species